AACCUUUGCUGUCUUGGAACAGAUCACCACUGCAAGAGGGGAAGUUGCUACUGUGAUGAAUUCUGCCAUGUGGUACCAGACUGCUACCCAGACCACAGUGUCCUCUGCAACCCUCGUAACUCACAUACAGGCCUGAUUCCACCUACAGCAAAGCUGGAUGCUAUGGUUGGCAGAGGCAAACCCUUUGCCUGCACUUCAGGCCAAAGCCGGGAUGUGGCCUAGAUGGUUCCUAAGGUCCCUGACAAUCCUGAGAUCUUGCAUCUUGUCUAUUUCAGGUCAAAGCUUCUCAGAUGACCAAGAUGGUGCUGCAGAUGGUGCUGAGGAUGGAGAACCCACCAAGCCCCGCUAGGAGCCACCUAGACUGGAUGUAGAGCAUGAUUUGAAGAUUGUACCAGGAGAGCCGCAGUGUUCCAGAGCUACCGAGGGGCUGGGCCGGGAUUUGCUGUAUUUGAGAAGACCCCCCUGGACCCGAGAGGCUGUGGGCUUGGGGAGCAUGAGGAGGUUUCACAGCAGAAAGGACACCCCGGGGCUCCUGGAUCGGAAAAUGUGCCAGGGGAAAUCGGGCUCCAAGGGCACCACUCUGGGCUUCCAGCUGUGUAGGCUGGACCAAGAAGGCUCAGAGAAAUGAUCUCAGGCUUGAAGUGGGGAGAACAAACUGUAUUAUGAAGGCAGACGAACAGUUCCUGCAAAAGGUUUUUACUUCCAUGGGGAAGUAUGUGUUGGAUGAGAAAAGUAUCCGGGGAAGG
rnacentral:lncRNA from 1 species